ACGGAUCCUGUUAAGUUAUCUGGUGCACAUGCAUAGUUGUCUGAGGUCUUUGAGACAAGGACAGGUGCAUGUGGGCCCAAUAACUUGGGAGGUUCUGCCACAGCUAGUAUCGGAGCAGGAUUAAGUAUAAUACGGUCACAUACGUAUUUUAAAAACAAAGUUUUGGCUUUAGGAAACUUAUUUUCAACUAAACACAUUGUUUGGUUUUGAAAAACAGCUUUGAAAAACUACAAUGCUAGCGACAUCCUCUGUUAAGCCCUAAAGUAAGGACUAUCAGGUGGCUUAUUUAAAACCACUAAGCCACAACUGUGGGUAUUGCAUACAUGUGUAUUGUUAUUUUUUUGGCCAUUCAGUUUUGAAUGGAUCGACGCUCAAGGUAAGGUGAGAUGUGAGAGCAUGACCGAACAAACAUCGGUCUAGGGAAGUGCUUAAUUGAAGCGCUUGAAUAUAUACAUGUUCUACAUAUGUAUAUAUGAAGGCUGCGAUGUGGAGUAAUUACUUUUCCGGGAAUUCAGUACCCCAUGGAUGUGUAUGGGUAUACGGACAUGGGAAUACUGAGAAGUGUAAUGUACUUGUAACGACGCACCUACGCUCAGGUAAGAAGGUGAGUUACCAUAAUGAGUUGCCCUAUGGUUAAAGUGUGGCAACAGCGCCUAUGCGUGGCUCGACGCUUAAUGAUGAGCUGGCCUCCAUAUAGCAAUAUAUGGAGUAUACACUAUGAUAAAACUGUCAUAUGUGAAUUGCAUCAUUGGGAAAUUGGGCUGUGAUGGAUUUUUCUGCAGGUACACUAACCUCGAAAACGUAUGUGUAGCUGACGACUAGCAAAAUACCGUGAGAGUCGUAAGUAUGCCACCGAUAUAGAACGUUAUUGCCACAGUAAGUUGGCAAACUCGUGAGGACGUAUAAGACGAGCAUGCAUCCUGAUUGUUGCAUCUUGUUUGUCACCUAUACAUCCAAAAUGCUUUUCUUAUCUUUAUUCCAGUAACCAGUGAUUGUAGAUAAUGUAGUGUAAUGUUGAAUUAUGAACUUAGAUGAAAUAGUUGUCCUCCAUUCUUUAGGUAAUAUGUUUAGGUGUUAUAUGUGCUUGCUCUGGUACUCGAUGUGCCGAUAGAAGGUUGGUGAUUUGUUUGCUUAAACCCAAAACUAGGCCAUGUUCUCAAUUAGUGAACCAUGACCCAAAUUUGAAUUUUUCAUUAUCACUCCAUGCCCCUGUUCGAUUGGCGCAAGCUGAUGUCUCCAUUCCAGUUUGCCUGUUCUUGAAGAUCGCAAUGUUGUUUUAUCAACCCAACCUAGGAAAGUUAUGCCUGAUGGUUUCCUUAGUUUGAUGCCUUUGGUUUCCUCAUACCUAUCAAAGGCAUACCAACUUAAUCUUAUGAUUAUUUUCCCUCCGUAUCUAAUCACAUACUAAUCCUUGACCUUGUGAUCCCUGCGAUGGACAUAGAAAUAUGCUUGGGCUGAAGUAACAGUCUCCCAUCGUACUCCUUCCAUCAAAUUUAGUUUAUGGCCAUGCCUUGUUUAUUUCAUCGGGCCAUGAUCUAUUUGGUUCUCUACUUGUAAUCGUUUUGACAGGUAGAGUCUCUUUGUAUAUUGUCACCCUUGUCCAAUCCCUUGGUGUCGUGCGAGAUUUCUUAUUGGUUAUGUCUGGUAAUGGUGUUAUGACUAAAAUCGGUGGCACCGCGCUGAAACCGAGGGCCUCUUGUGGGUGCACACACAUGGUUGUGCUACCUGGCACGCACUAGUAUCACAGUUAGUAGUCAUAAUCCAUUAUAAGACUAUAUCGAUGUGUUGUCUCUGCACAAAUUGUUCUUACCACGUGAGAUUCAUUAUUGGUGCCAGUUCGAUAAUGGUGUCUCGAUUAAUGACUUAUGGUACCGCCGCGAAACUGAGAGCCCCUUGUGAAUGUACACACAAGGUUAUGCUGCUUGGCGCAUGCUGGUAUCAAGGUCUCUAGUCAUGAUCCUUUAUGGAAUUACACUGAUAUGUUAUCUUUCGUGGACCUUCCCUUGAAACAAUUUCUAUGUUGUUUGUCAAGUGAUCAAGCAACAUCUAUCAUCUCUGUUGGAUCAAACGGGCAUACCACUUCCAUGUGUCGUCUCUUAUCUCUUGACUUUGGUGGUGGCUACUCAUACAAGUUCCCUUUGCAUCCUUUGUUGUAAAGGUGAAGUCUUGGAGCUUUUUAGUGUUGGAAAACAACUGAUUAGCUCUCAAAAUGGAGAUUUACUUUCCCUGCUGCUGAGAUGCAAGAGUUUGUUCAUUCGCUCUCUUAUUUAAACCAUGUAUUCCCUAACCAAGUUUGUUCAUCGCGCAUGAAGAAACGGAUGAACAUGACCAAAUGGAUUUCUACCCAAAUGCAUGACCUUUUGCUAGCAAAUGUAAACUCUCAACCCUUGGCUUACCGAUGGUACUGAGAGGACAUGCCCAAUGUCAAAAGUAGUUCAACAAGUUGGUUUUACUAACUUGUAAGUGCCCAAUGGACGAAGAUUGAGUUUAGAGGUCGUUUUAUCGAGUUGUCUGAACUCACUUUGGUUCAACCCAUCCUAAGAAAGUACUUAUAAGAAUCGAGAUUAAGUCGGCCAAUAACCACCUAAUUAUCGCUCUAGUCACGCCUCGAUCGCAUCACGUGUGCUUUUCCAGCAUGUGUAAUCAAGUCGAGCCGUGCUAAGUAUUUGAUGAAAUGGGUUGGUCGUAAAGUCAACAUCAACAGAUCUCUUCAUUGAUAUUUUCUCGAGUCUCUAUCAUUUUUCAUGGACUUGGAUUCUCUGGCUAACAUGAGUUAACUGUGAUGUUAUUCGACAUUCACACCCGUCUCGUGUGCUAUGAACUUACCGUGACCACUUGUUGGUAAACCCCUUUCUGUGUAUUUUACCCAAGAGGUUGCAACUGAUUCUGCUUGGGUAAAGUCGCAUAUCUACCGCUCGCCCAACAGACUCAGAUAGUACAGUGUCAUCAGAAAAAAACAAACUGCCCACAUAGAACCUUAUGUGUUCUGCUGGCAGACAUCGUCUCUAUGGGUGGACAUAUCUAAAUUAGCCUAAGGCGAUACAUGAUAUGUCCACUGGAGAAACCACAUCCUGAGGCACUCGCCUUCGCUACGGACCGUCUUAGGAUUAUCGCUGAUAUGAACUUGGUUACACACUUCUCUACCCUUAGAAGUCUUUCGCUCCGAAUCUCGGGACGAGAUUCUUUUAAGGGGGGAGGGCUGUAACACCCCAGGUGUUUAUAUUCCGCUCGACAACGAGUAUGGAUUUAAGCACGUAAUAUCGGUGGAUAAAACAGACGUUAAAUUUUAAACAUCUUUCGUCUAUCGCGAUUUUAAUAUCGCAUUUGUUUCGGCUGUCGCGUGUGCGACGUCGUUUUUAUUUUUAUCUGUCCAGGCUCUUCCUAAAUUUUCGUGAUGUUCGGAACAUAGUUGUUCCGAAAAUCUGUGUGUUCGGUGAUUAUUCAUCGCUCGCGCGAAUACGAAUUCGGAAGCCGAACCACUUGGAUGAUUUUUAUCCCGAAUAAAUUAAUUGGAACUCGUAAAAAUGGUUUCCAGUCCGAAACAAACUAGACCAACGUAACUAGAACUGAAAGUGAAUAAUUAGUAAAUGAUUUGGUUCGCUAGAUUCGUAGAAUAAAAUAUGUAUCUGUAUAACGUGUCGAUCCAGUUUACAUCGCUAAAAAUCGUGAUCCAAAAUAUCAACGAUUCUCUGUUAAAAAAAUAGAAAAUAAGAAAAAUCAUAUUUUUGCUUCCUCCGUUCAGUCCUCCCAUCCUUAUCUUCCAUGUGUUGUUCUCAUCUAGUAGUUAUUUGUUCCCUGGAAUACUUUCUUAGGUGUCUCCUAUCCAAAGCCAACAGCUCCCUAGGAGUUCUCCACGUACUCUUUUCCCUGGAAGCUCCCAUACGUCUCGUUCCUUAUCCCUUGCCAUCGUUCUAAUCUUGGAAUCCAGCUCUCCUACGUUCCUUUUCCUUCAGCGACGUCGACUCCGUGGGAUAUUUUGCUGCGCGCUCAUCUCACUCAGUUCGCUCGACGCCUUGCUUCUUCUACCAGCACGUGACCUCGCCUCCUCACCGUGGCGUCUCCCUUCCCAGCCAGGUCGAAUCUCCAGGCCCGUUGUUCCUCUCCCUAUCUUGGAGCUCGCCCCUGAUCUCUUCCAUAUGGAGCUUGCCCCUGAUCUCUAUUUCCUUGACAUGGGCUCGACCUCCACUUCGCCGUGAAGGCUCGUCGCUUCACCCACCGGAGUUCGUCGGCCAUGGCUUUUGAGCUUGCUAGUAGUCGCCCUUCCGCCGUCCCUGGCUCGGCCCUGCUCGCCGCGUCCAGCGGAGCUCGGUCCUUGGCGCGCGUUGCUCCAGCUCCCGCGCGCGCCCACCUCCCUGCUCGUCCGGCGAGUCGUGCCCGGGCCGCGUCGAGCUCCCUGACUCCAGCUCGUCCCUGUGCGCGUCUCUCUGAUGCCCAGCGACGGCCACCGCUUUUUCCGUCGAACACCCUCCAGCUCCUCCCUCUGCUAGCACGGCCGACUGCCCCAAGUUCCAUGGCGCGCAUCUCGCGCCCAAGCUCCUCUUUGCCGAGCAGUUCGCCCGGCCUCUGGCCUUCUUCCUUGCGCACGGCCUGCCCCAGCUCGCGGAGUUCCCUCGCGGCGUUCAUCUCCCUGCGCGUCCUCUCUGGCGCUGCGGUGCCCCAGCUUGGCCUUUGCCCAUUCCUCAGCCGCGCCCUGCUCCAGUCGCUCACCCAUCGGACGCUACACGCUCGCAUCUGCUUGUUCCGUGGGUGCGCACUGCCUUCUCUGUCCAUGGUGCGCCCUCACCUCUACUUCUCUGCUGGCCGGCGUUUUUCCAGCCGUGGAUCUCCUUGUGUGCCGCGUCCGGCUCCCUGACGUGCCGCGGUGCCCGUCGCCCUGCGCACGCUCUGUUUCCUCGCGCAGCUUUGUGCUCGCCUGGCCGCGCCCUACUUCCAUGUCCGCCGUCGAAGCUUCCCUGUCGCGCCCCUCAGCUCGCCGCUGCUCAGCUUCUCCGGUGCUUUCUCCGACCGUGGGCGCUAUCGCGCCGUUGACCCCGUCGAGACUCGCCAGCCGCGGCGCUGCUCCUAGCUCUCUGCUCGCUAGACCGCGCCCUGGGUCGCCGUUGGGGACUCAACCUCGCCUGGCCGUUGUCUCGGAUGCGCAGGAGUAGUGUAGGUACUUGCAGUCGGUGGAUCCUCGAUAUCGAGCUGGGAAUAGAGAAGACAGUACUGUUCCGUGCGUCGCUUAUCCGAUGCUCGACGGAAUGCCCAACUGGGAGGUGAUAGCUUCGUGUGUCGGUGAGCCGUCGUUUUUCUCGUUCAGUGUUUGUGCGGCCUUGUCCGAACCGCUCUGCCAUCUCCCGACCGUUGGCCCUUGCCCCCUGCACGGGCUUGUCGCGCUAGUCAACCCCGCCUCGAUCCUUGUCUCGAUAUUGCGCUUGCUGGUGGCCAAAGCUCGCGCUAACCUACUCGAUCACACCUCGUCAGCUCGUUCCAUACUCAAUCUCGUCGUCGCGUUAUGUGUGCAUCACUCGCCAGACAUGUGCGAUCAAAGACGUCAACCGGAAACCGUCGGCGUGCUUGCGACUAUCGCGUCGAAUUAGUCAGGAUAAGUAAAUUUGUUAUUUGUGUUAGUGGAUUGAUGGAUGGUCUGACUAGGUAUAAAAUUUAUUAGAUUGCCUGAGUCGUUUUAGUAAUUUGGUCAAUGUCGUAGGAUGAAAGAGGUCUCAUUUGGUCUCAGUGUUUGCGGGACUGUAGAUGUUAAAAAUAGAAAGUUUUACUAGUAUAUAUGAUACACAGGUUAACCGGUGAAUUGGUUUAGAAAGUUAAUAAAAGUUCUUCUAUCAAAAUUUAUAAGUGUUAGGUGUCCAAGAAUUGUGUAGUUAAGAUUAUAAGUCGUUUAGUGUGCUCUCUAAACUAGGUAUAAUAUUCUACUAGGUGUGUGCCCGUGCGUUGCAACGGAAGUACGCUGUGAUGAACAUCGACACAUAUAUGAUUGAAUCUUAUAUUUCCUUGAGGUCUGGAGAAAGUUUGCUCGGAAGCCAAACAUGUUAGGAUUCUGGGCAUGUGUUACCCUUGUGCCCCAUCAGCACACUGUUCCGCGCUUGUAUGAGUCUUGUUAAUUUGCAUACCUCGCGCAUAGUCUUUCACCGCAUCGAGCUGCUACCGAAGUGGUAGAGAUCAAAAUUUCAAAGUUGUUUGUGUUGUUCGUCGAGUGAACAAACCGUUGUUCUUGUUGUGACCUCUGUUGCCUGUGCCUAGAACGCUUCCCAUUUUACCGCUGACGUCUCCUUCCAUGUUGUAGUUUAGAGUGAUCUCUGUUUAGUUGCCUUCAGCACAAAACAUCAUAUCAUUUUUAUUGUUUUUAGAUUGUUGAAUUAUUGUAUAUAUUCCAUUUAAAUAAGGUUUAACUAUGUGAUAUAUAGAUACGGUACUAUUGAUGAAUUAGACAUCAAUGAGAGAGAUCAAAGUCGACUUAGCAGAGGAGGCAAAGGAGUACCUUCGAACAACCCUCGUUGCUGUUUUUUUGUCUCCUUUCCGUCCUGCCACGGCCAUGUAUUUAUAAUAAUAUUAUAUAUUUAUAUCGUCAAUAUAAUAUUAGUGUUACGGUGAUAUUUUGUCACAUGGAUUUUGUAUAUUAUAGUGAUGCUUGUCGUUUCGUAUAUAUGUUUCAUACUAUUUUUUUACUUCCGUAGCAACACACAGACACAUAUCUAGUGAACAUAGAAAACUAAAAAAGACGGAGCAACACAAUAUCCCACUCCCUCGCAAGUACAAACAGACCAAUUUCCCACAGAAAAAGCAAUUUAGAAUAUUCCCCGGUAGUUGAACUUGGUCAUGUCAGCCUUGGAAACAACAGUUGUCCUGUAAAUGAGGUCACGAUCACAAAGCAACAACAUCAUCGGCUCAUCCUAUGUAAUGGAAGUGGAUAAACCAGCAACAUAUACCUCGUAGUUCUUCUUGGUUAGCCUCUCUAGGAAUGGAGACUUUCCUAGCUGCUCUUUGCUGCUUCCCGUGAUGUAGAAGAUGUCUUUCUGCCCUGAAUUCAUUCAUGAAAUGUACUCCUCAAGGGAGGCAGGUUUGUCGUCCGACUUGGUACUAAGGCAAGCAACAAAUAUAAGAUACAGUUCGCUUUUGCCCAAAACACAGAAUUAAAGACAGUGUUUGGAAAAGAGUAAGGACAAUUUUAGACAAACCUCUCAAAUCUAAGCUUCACAAGGUGGUUCCUAUUAGUCGCGUGUUUGAUGAUACGUACUCAGCUUGAUUGAUUUGCAAAACUUAUUCCAGAACUUGGCGUACUGGCCCUUCUUCUCCUCCAUCUCACUUUUCUCUUCAUCUGAUUAGAGAAGAUCUUUUCAGUAUUGUGAUAGUAAUCAUAGAGUAUGUGACUUGCAUUCCUUGCAGAAAACCCCAUUACUUGUCUUAUCCUUGUUGCUAAGGUACAGUGUGUCCGAGUCAACAAUACCCUACAAAUAAAGUCAGUAUUUAGUCUGCUACGUCAACGGAUUAAAUUGAAUAGUAUGUGUUUCUUCAAACAAUAAUACAGUACCUUCAAAAAGCUAAGGUAAUUGGGAAGAAGGUCAUCGAAUUCAUCAGAGAUGAAAACGCUCCUAACAUACAACUUGAGAUUUGACUUGUUACUGUUGUAGUAUCUCUCAUAGAGAUCAUGUGGAGCCUUCGGGGGAAUAAAGAGCAAAGCUUUGAACUCGACAAUCUGCUACAUCGACAGAAUGAAUUGAAUAGUAUGUGUUGCUUCAAAUAGUAAAGUAGUACCUUCAAAAGGCUGAGGUAAUCGACAUCGUGCCGGGUGGCAGCAGAGGGCGCGACAUGGGCCACCCGACUCAACCCGUAUAAACUAAAAUAUGGAGAUAUAGGAAUAUGCCCGUGCGUUGCUACGGAAUCAAUAUGAUAAAAUACAUUUAUAUGCAAAAAAAACAAAUAGCAGUAGAGAUGCUGCUGCGAUAGUGAAAAUGUCAGCAGGAGUAAUAUAUGAACAAAUCUGCCAACAUAUGCAGUGUAGUUGUAACUGAAAAUGCAGUGAGUGAAAUGAGAAACAAAGAAAACCACCAUGGACAGAUUGGAGAACCUCUAAUGGUAUAUCAAGAUAAAGCAGAGAUUGACAAAUAAAAAAUGAACCGAAUGUGUGUGGACACUAAAGAACAAUUACAUAUGAGGACACUAAAGAACAAUUACAUAUGCAUCCGAGUAACCAAGUCUUACCCUUCUUUGUCAACAGAUCCAUAAACAGGCUCAAAUCUUGGAUCCCUUCCAACCUAUGGGAAAGAACGAUAUCAGAAAUUGAUAUGAAUUUAGAAGACAAAGUACAUAAUACAACCUCUAAAGACAGAUUGAUAAUUACACAUUUGCAUGAAAGAAAAUAAGAUGUAGAUAAAAGCACUAAUUGGAAGUAAAGGAAGUCAAUAUAUAAACUACAUUCUUUCAUGAUGAAUGUUUUCAGUUAAUGAAUAUCGAUUCAACAUAUAUCUUUUAUGUAAUAAAUUGAACACAACUAACCUUCUUGGGAACCUGUAUCACCUCCCUCAAUUUUGGUGGCCGCACUUUUGUGCUUAUCUCCAUAGGCCUGUUGAAAACACACGCGAACCCAUUAGGAACAAUAGCCACUGGGAACAGCAGAACCCACGAAGGGGCAACAGCAGCUGGGGCCUGGGCAUCUCUGAACCUCCUCUUGCUAGCCCUGCGAGUCUUCUUCUCCAGCUAAUCACCAGCUGCACAAACACAGAAAGGCAUGCACGCUUGCCCGCCUAUUAGAGCCGGAGCCAACUGCGACGAGCUAGCGGUGAGGCACCUGACGCCGGAUGUGUUCGCACCUAGUAGGAGCCGAGGGCGAUGUAGGAGCGGAAGACGAUGGUGUCGUGCUUAGCGGCGGCGGUGGCGUCAAGGCCCGGGACGUCGAUGUUGUUAAUGGCUGCCUGGUAGGCGCCCAGGUAGAAGAGGUUCCGCAGAUUGAAGAGUAGGUCGGGGGAGGCCAUCGCUGUGUAGUUGAAUGGACCCUUCAGUACAAUGUCGUACUCCUUUAUCAAGUCUAAUGUUUAAGUGAACAUUCCAUUAGUUAGCAUGAUCUUGUAUAAUCAUAUAUCGCAUACUAUAAAAUUAGGAGGAGAGCAAACCUUGGAAAGUAUUGCUGGGUUCACGACCCAUCACUUGGCAUUCUUUGAGAAACCAAUACAAACCUACAGAGGCAUGUGCAAGCUCUUCCUCUGCCACUCUUGCCACAUUGUCUGCAGAUCGAUGGUCCCCAAAACCAGAUAACCUUUGGACUAAUAUUGGUCCAGCAGCAAGGCCUCUGGCUUCCUAUCAAGGUUCUCAUAAUCAAGAUAUUAGUCAAUUUUAAUAAUGUAGAGUUCUUCAGCAAGCAUUGUGACCUAAAACAUAAACUACAACUAUCUGAGAAGUAACAAUAUCCUCACCUGAACAAAUGACUACAUAAGAUAUUUAACCCAUAGGGAACUCUAGGACUGCCCUCUUUUUUCACCGUUGUGUACCAGGAAAAAUCGGAGAAAAUCAGAGGACCAUACCACCAUCACACCUAGGGAACAUACAAUCUAAUACAAGAGCAAUGGGGACGAAACGGAGUCGAGCGAGUGAGCACCGAAGGGGAGCGGGGACUCACAUACCCAUCGUUUUGCUGCUCAGCCCCGGAUUAAGUCCAGGCCGAAACAGACAAUCUGAUUUUUAUUUAGAAGAACAACCUAGACUGAGUUGAUAAGAUUUAUCUUAUCCAUCUCAACCAUCUUAUCCGGAUUAAGUCCAAGGCUAAUCUUGCUAUACUAAAUUGCUAUCCUAAAUUCACUCAACAGUCAUUAUAAACAGAAUUAUAAACAGAAGAGGCACGCCCAAACUGAAUUCUUUUGAGUGAUUUGCUUGCUGUAUAACAGUCCAGUUUAUUUUGAGAGAUUUUAGCAUGCUUCUCACCCAUCACCCAUCAAAAUUCAGCAUGCUUCUCAAGUAGCAUAAUCUUAGCACUUCAGCAUUUGGAGACGAUAUAAUGUGUCCUCACCCAUCAAAAAACAGUAAAAACAUGUUUAAAACGUGCACUGCAGGUCUUUUUUGGGCAAAAUGUUUCCCUCAAAAUAAAUGCACAAAUAUAAAAGCAGUGACAAUCCGGGAGGGAAACACAACUUCUUCACCAGCCCUGUUUGGCGACAGAGAUCUAGUGCACGUCAGUUCCCAUCCCGAACAGGCAAAUCACAGCAGGGGUGUCUAUCAUCGAGAUUUGAAGCCAGAAAAUCUUUUGUUCGAUGAGAAUAGUAACCUAAAGGUGUCAGAUUUUGGUCUAAGUGCACUUGUUGAAUGCCAUAGACAAGACGGCCUGCUCCACACGAAUAUAAAAGAAUGCACCCAUUGAAAUAACUAAAACUAAAGCCUAGACUUGAAUAUAAAAGACAACAUACCGUGUUAUACCUGUCUGAAAAAGGACCCUGUCUAGAAAACAUGGAAAUAUAACCAGCAAGAAAGUGCAUGGCAUGUUUUCCUAGGGUCUCUCUGUUGGCGCAUCUGCAUUGCCCACACAAUAGGAGAAUGUACAUUACCAUUUAACUUCAAGACAAUAAAAUAGAAGCAUUACUGUUAAACCAACAUAAGCAAAAUCCGGAAAGUGCAUGAAUUAUCUUCAGAUGUGAACAUAUAACAUAAAAUAUAUUCCGUAUCAGUAAAUUUAACUGCAUUUAAAGAAUUAGUAAGCGUAAAUAUGAAAUAUAGCACAAUACGAGGGGCAAAGAUUAAGUAUCAUCAUUUUGGUAUGAACAUUAGAUCAUAAACCUCCUAGCCUCUUGAGCCCGGAUGUAAUCAAUGUCAGGUUCUGGGUGCUCCUCUGGUUCAUAUUCUCCCUCCUGCUUCACCUCGCGGUUACCUAAGCAGAAGAAAGUGAGAUAGUCCUUGGGGUUUGCUUCAAUCCCGUUGGCUUCGAGAGCUUGUGCGAUGUCAGUGUACAUAUGGUUGCCAGCUGUUGACCUGACUGAAGAGCCCUCCUCUUUUAUUUGUAUGGCGAAGUUCUAACACCAGGUACAUGACUGUUCAUUAGACAAAAAAAAUCAGGUUUCAUACGGUUUAACGUAGUAUGCCUUAUUUCAGGCAGUCUACCAUCUAGAACAUUGGAUACAAAGAUAAAGGAGACAACCAUAAGGCAUGUACACACCCCAGAGAAGGCCCCAGAGGCCAUGAGCCCCAGCUGUGUAUCAUAGGGUUCCAUCCUUUCUACUCUUUGCUGUCAAUUGGAAUGAAGAAAAUGCAAAGGCAUAUUGUGCCUUCCUUUCUAUAUUGUGCUUUAAGUUCAAUGCAUUGUGGUUCUAGAUGACAAGGAAACAAAAUUAUUCAAAACUUACACUUAGCAUUCUAGAAUUUAGUUCAUGCAGUUUAGCAUCUCUCGACCUUCAGCAUCUGCUUUAUCCUUACCUAAGAACUUAUCCACCAAAAUGUUGUAUGUUCAUUGCUAAUUUUGUUUGGUGCUGGAAACAUUAGGCCCUUUUCUAAUCUCAAGUCAAACUAACAAGCAAGAAAAAAAAGGAGAUUCAGUGGUCUGCUACUGUGUUUAAUUAUUAAGACACGAUUUCAUCAAAACAGAACGAAUCAGCAGACAUUUUCCAAGGUAAUAAAUCGCCUAUACCACUGCCACAAAAAUGAACAGCGGUAAACGGCAGAGGAACACAAGACUGCAAAGUGCGAGUGAGCUUUGCAAGCAUUUGCUCAGAAUCCUCGGUGUCCUCUAUAACCUCUCUAUCUGAUAAGCUAUCGUCACAUGCAUUUACUCUGAAUCCUCGGUGUCCUCUACAACCUCUCCGACUGAUAAUAUAUCAUCACGUGGAUGAGCUAUUUCCACAGUAACACUGACUUGAUCUCCCACUUUCCCACGUGAAAUUGUUGUUGUAACUUGCAUCCCAACCUGGAAGCGACAUUGGAAGAUUAAUACUCAUGAGAGGAAAAUGAAAAUCAAACGGGUACAGGCUAUAGUAUUCAUUCUGAUAAUCUGAUUCAUGAUACAGCCAGCAGAACUAAAAUAAACAGUGGCAGUAGUGGUUCAAUUAUGUACAAUAAGCUCAGUAAACUAACUGACUACCACUAAGGGUAUAGCAUGUCUGUUUUCCUCUAUUCUACAGCAUGUGUUUUUGGUCGCUGCAUUCAAAAGGUAGAACCAAAACUUUCUUAUGUAAAAGGGGGAGGAAUCAAUUUGGUUUGCUCGCACUACAAAUUUUGCUAGAAACCAGUCAGUAACACAGUUCUUGCAAUUAAAGGAUAGACCACAAAUCGACCAGAAGUGACAUACAUCAUCUGGGAUCAGCCAAACAGGUAAAUCCAGAGCAAUUUUGGGCAACUGUUACUUGGAGCUAUACUGCUCUAAAUACUAUAUUGGUGAAACAAAAAUAGUGUGAUAUGAUAAUCUAAAAUAAGUAAAAACUUAUCAUAAGGAGAAAGUCAGUUCACCUCCACCAAAAGCAGAGCUCCCAUACGAUCCUUGACAAACUUCAGAAUCAGUGCUCUGUACUUUCUCCCCUUUGGUUGUCGCCUCAAGUAUUCCAACAGCCAGUACCGCAAGCUAUUGCUAUGAAGCCUCCUAGCUACUUUAACAUGCAUGUUCGCAAUAAAUGUCAUUCCUUCUAGAUCGCCAGCUGAAUAUGGUGGAGAGUCACCUCUAAGAAAAGCUUUAACCUACAAUUAGUUCCCAUAAUAUUUGAAAUUAAGUCAAUUGUUGAUAUACUCUUUGGAUCAAAGGUACAUAGAUUAAAUAAUGAAUUUGAUGACACUAUCAGAAAGCUAGCAACAUCAAAAUAAAAUGCACAAAUUCUUAUUUUUCCCAUAUGCUAUAAAACUUUUCCUUAUUCAUAAGCAUAUUUACCUGAUAAUGAGCUAGCAGGUCAACAUACCUUCAGGGCAGCAACCUUCUCGGCGUGAUCCUACACGUUAAUUGAGAAAGAGUGAGUAGCAGGGCACGCGCUGGAACCGUAACUCCGCACGGAGCAAUCGCAGGUGGGCACCCCAAACGAUGCCAUUCCCCUGGAAGCCUAAACCCUACACGGCAACGGGAGGCAGAGUGUUCGGGGGUGAGUACCUGCGGGCUGGGCGUCCUGCUGAACCUGUACCUCCUCCCAGCCAGUGGCAGACUUGGAACCCUGCAGUAUAAGAGAGAAAAUGCAUCAUACUCGAACACUAAAGGCUGUCAAGCGUCUAGCGCAGCAAUCGCUGAGAGGUACGAGAACUGCAGGCUCAGCGCAAUUCGUCGAAAUGUCACAAAUCGUACCAGCGUGUUCACAAAAAACAUACCAGACAUGACACUAAGAUCUCGAGCUUCGACAGUGACAUAAUCUGGAAUUCUGGAUUAGGCAGCACCAUUGGAAGUCACUUUUCUAGGCCAAGCAUUAGACCCUGCUCAAGCUUCUCGAGACUUUUGGGAAGAGGAUUGCUAGAAGGUGAACCAAAGACUUCAGUACCAUGGGCUAAUAUAAAAUAUGGAUCAUCAACGUUGUUCACAACUUGCAAACCAAGUUCUAUAGUAUGACAAAAUGAAAAACCGAUUACACUAAAUCCAUUCUGAUGCUAAGCAGAAGUGACAGGAAACAAACCUCGAGAGAAACUACCAACAUACAUGCCAGAAUGGUCGGGUACGACUUCUUCCCAUCACGAAGAACACCAAACUUGUCCAGCAACCAAUCCUGCGAGAGUGUGAGACAUGCCACCGUUGGCCUAGCAAAGAUUUCGAUAGAAGAGUGUUAAGACGGGCACAAUGCACACGACGACAGAAGCGACACAUACAAAGCAACAGUGGAAGAGUUCAUAGGAAGAAAGAAACGAACCCUGGGCUAUCGUCUUGGAUGGAGCUGAGUAGAUCAGCGUGCUCCCUCAUGGAGCCCUAGCAGAGCCCGUGCGCCCUCUCCACCGCCUCCUCGCUGGCGCCAGCAGCAGCCCCCGCCAUCGUCUGCGUGAAGGACCCGAUGGCGGCUCGGUGGCAGAGGUGGAGGCUGGGGGAGGGCAUCGCACGGUGGGGUAUCGAGGCUGGGGAGGACGAAAUCUAAAGCCGAGGUCGUGCUCCGUCAGAGGCCCGCGAAGGGAGAUCGUCGUUGUUGCUAGAAGAGGAGACCGCGGCGAGGGGAGAUCGCGGCAGGGAGGGGAGGGGGAGAGGCGGGCCCAUGUGCGAGCGGGGGGCGGCGGCGGGUCGACGGGGCGGCGCGAUGAGAUCGCGGCGGGGAGAGGCGAGCCUACGUGCGAGCGGGGGGGGGUGACGGCGGGGUGGAUCUGGUGGGCGGGCGAGAUUUCCGCUGCGGGACGAUGCGGCGGCGCUGUUGGGGACUUGUUCUCAAAUGCUAAGAAUUAAGAACAAGGCAACACAAGAAAUGUUAGGUGUUAAGGUCCUUCGUCCUCCAUAACAAUAUAUCCCUUCGGGAUAUAGAGCAUCUCGGACGAAGGUUACGAAGGACAUACCUUCGUAAGCAUAAUAACGAAGAAUGAAGCAUUUGCAUAAAUCAUAGAAUAUGAAAUAAACAUCUAAAUAUUGUCAAAGAAUUAUCUCUACUUGUAUUAAUGAAUACAAAUGACUUUGAAUUACAAAUGUACCUUCGAUCCUGCGGAAGGCAAAGGUACAAGCGUGAUGCGAAAGCAAAUGACAGGUCCACCUGAACAGUACAGAGGUACUGUUCAUCUAUUUAUAGGCACAGGUCGCAGCCUGUGACAAAUUACAAUUAUGCCCCUUGCGAAAGUUUAUAGCAUUAACUCAGACUCAUAUGUAUAAAAAGGUCAUUCUAUCUCUAUGUCGGUUUAAAAACGCCGAAGCUCCAUGAAAAGGGACCUUCGGCCAUCUCUUGGAGACGACUUCAGCCGAAGCUGCUUCUUCGUGUGAGACCUUCGGCGUACCGAAGCACGACCCCAACAGUAGCCCCUUUCGCGGUGCUAGAUCGUUCUUCGUAACGAGCUUGACCCGUGAAAAAAGCCUCUUCAGCUUCGGGAAGCCGAAGGUCCAAAAAACACCUUCCCUGAGCUCGUUGCGGAGAAACGAUCCGACUUCCGAGCGCGUGUCGGUCCCACCUUGCAGAGUUACUGUUUGAUCCUUGCGGUCCACUGCGCAGCGGGUACAAGUUACGGCGCGCCUGGUGUAACAAUUCCGCCGCUUCGCCUUCUUUCCUGCAGUACUAUAUAAACAAGCAGGUAGGUGUGAAGUUACCACAGCAUUCAUUGCUAUUUGCACUGUUUUGCUGCCGAAAUUUUCCAUCAUAGCCGAAGCUUAAAUCCCAAAAUCGAACGAAGGUCCGUCUCGACACUUGCUUCGUCAGAAAGAAGAGCUUCGGAGAGAAGAAAAAAGUAAAAAGUUUCUGACUUGCCAAACUUAAAAUCAAAUGGCGAGAAUUCGAUCUACUGCCAAAGUUGUACGUGAGGGAGACGAAGCCGAAGGUUCAAACACUGUGCCCAUCUCCGAAGCGAUGCAGCGCUCCGGUCUAGUGGCUGCGGAAGAGAGGCCUGGUACCGAAGUAAACCCGACAACAGCCGAAGAAGAAAACAUUGAUGGGACUGACUCCGGAGAUGACUACCACAUGUCUACACCCAGCAAGCCCAGUCACCUGGAUUUUGGAAAAUCAACAGUUUCAAAGGCUGACCUUGCGAAGAUGAUAAAGGCAGGUUUUUUCAAAGAAGAUCAGAAAAAGCUACUUCGCUUCGGAGGAGAGGAGACUACCCCGAAGCCAGAGAAGGAUGAGAUUGUAAUUUUCAAAAGCUUUUUAAAAGCUGGGCUGAGAUUUCCUCUUCAUGGAAUUAUUGGAGAUGUGUUGCAAAAGUUUGGCAUUUAUUUUCACCAAUUGACUCCUAACGCCAUUGUUAGGCUUAAUGUUUAUAUUUGGGCUCUCCGAAGCCAAGCUGUGGAACCGUUUGCCGACAGCUUCUGCCGAGCGCACGAAUUACAUUACCAAACGAAGGCCAGAGCAGACGGACUACAUGAUAACUUCGGCUGUUACAAUUUUGCCUACCGGAAGACAACAAAGUGUCCUGUUAUCAGCUACCGGAGCAAAUGGCCAGCAGGCUGGAAGUCUGAGUGGUUCUACGUAAAAGUUGACGAAGACAGAGAAAAAUUGGUACAAAGUCCUCUGGAAUUAAUCUUCGGAGAGACAAGGCCACACUGCCACAUCGGCGAUUUAAAGGGUCCUACCUGGGCCGCUCUGGGUGAAUUCGAAAUUAUUUCAGAACAUAUUGGCACCAGGGAUCUGGUUCAGGAAUUUUUGGCAUUCAGAGUUUUCCCUACUUUAAAAGAGUGGGAGAUGCCGAAGCUGGAGGGAGAGAAGAAGGAUGGGGAGCUUGUUCGUCUGCCUUAUCACUUUAAAUUCAAGAAGUACUUUAAGAAACCCUGCAAAGAGUGGUUGGACACAGUUGAGACAAUGUGCAAUGAAAUCUUGGGGAACUACUCCAAAAAGGAGGAUCAAUUAAUGACAGCAGCCUUCGGCACCCGACCGAAGCGAAGGCUAAACCGAGUAUUCGAUGCCCUGGGCUUCGAGUAUCCAGACUAUGAGCAGUUGAAUAAGGGUGCCGAAGGCCACAAAAGAAAAAGAGUGGCUGAAAUUCUGACGAAGGAUGAAGAGCAACCAGCAGCAGAGAAGAAAAUUCCGAAGAAAAGGAAAAUAUCAACUCCGAAACGGAAAAUAUCCGAAGAAGAGAGAACCCCCACACCGCCUUCUACUAGCGACAUAGAAGAAAUUUUAAAGGUAAUGACUGAACCCAUGCCUACGAAGCUAAGUCCACUAGAGCUCCAACUGACGAAGCUUUUUCGAAAGGUGGACGAGCCGGAUCAGACGAAGACAAGCAAACCCAAGCGGCAAAGAAUCAUUGCGGUAACUGAAGUUAUCGAUAAGACGCCGCCAAGGGCGUCAAUCCAAAAAACGGCAGCUGCCGAAGGUGCAGCAAUUGUCGAAGGCGUAGCUUCGGGGGUCGCGGCUACCGAAGCCGCUACAGCCGAAGAUACAAACUUAAAAACCACGAUUACGAAUAUCAACAAGAUUUUGGAAGACAUGGCCGCGGAAGAAACUGGUGCUACUUCUGAAAAAACCAUGGCCACAGUGCCUGAAAAAGGAAAAGAAAUAGCCGAAGACCCUUCGGAUGACGAAGCAUACACUUUCCAGAACUUAGUUGGGCAAAAACUGACGAAGGAGGAAAUAGAAGAACUUAAAGAAUACGCCAAGUCUUGCGGGUACAAGUCAGGUGCCCUCCUAUUUGGGGGUGUAGAUGAUGAACAACUGGGCUGCAUCCGGGACUCAGCUGGGGCUAAGGUCAUCGGUACUUUAUCAAAGAGUAUCGGUUUUCCGAAGCUGGAGUCAGACAUCAGCCGCUACCGACGACAACAUGUCGUUGGUAGUUUAUUUUAUUCUAACUUCAAGGUGAAUGACUUGUUUCUUAACCUUUAUUGCUUCUAAUAAAAACAUGACUGACGAAGGUUGUGUUUGUGUAGAGUAUGCUAUUGAGCAAGGCUUUGCAAAUGCAGCAGGAUCUUGAAGAUAAAAAGCAUGAAGUUAUAAUUGAAAAUUUGGAAAACAAAAUAAAGGAACAAUCAGAUGCUUUUGAGAAAAAGAGCUUCGAACUCCAGGCAGCCGAAGGUUUACUGGCGGAAGCUGAAGCAAAAAUAUUAGAACUGAACACGAAGCUUCUCCGCCAGUCUGAGCAGUUCGAACAAGAAAAACAAGAUCUCAAUGCAAAACUUGAAGCCGAAGCUCAGCAAAAUUCGGAUUUGAGAAAAUUAUUGACAAAUCUUCAAGAAAAAUGCCUAGAAUUUAGCAGCAAGUGCAUUCAGCGACUAAGAAAGAUUUUUCAUUCGGUUGGAGCUAGCAGCGAAAAAUUUACCCCCUCAGCUGAAGACCUACCACAAACCUUCGAACACAUUGAGGGGGAAAUUGACGAGCUCGACGAAGUCAUAGCUGGGCAUGGUGAUUUCUGUGCCUGGGUAGCUUCUCGAGGGACUGCUGCAGCCUUCAUGAAGGCUGGCUGUGAACAUGGAAAAGUUGUUAACAGACCCACCUUCGCCUUAUCUCCAUCAAUCCUGGAUGAUAUGCCUGACCUUGCCCGAAGUAUCUCCAACAGAUUUAUAAAAAUGAUAUGGACAAAAGGCGGGCGGGAGAAGGCUGGAGAUGAAGCACGAAGCCAUCUUGAACCAGUAAGAGAUAAUACUUCGUACUUACCUUUUUCUUUGCACUUGAUUUUUACUCACGGUUCCUUGAUUUAUGUAGGAUGACGAAGGUGAAGAUGAUGCCUAAAUUAUGUCGUCGAAGCUGAAACUUAAUGAAGAUCAGUAGAAGUGUACUGUAGGAAAACUCAGGAUAUUUUUGUAACAAUCCUUGUAAAUACAACUAGACUAUCUUCAAGGAACUUUGUACAUACCUUGCAAUGUAUUCUUACCCUCUGCUUGAAGCGCUUUGAUGUGGACGAAACCAGUAUUUUGAGCCGAAGGCGAAAAACACCUUCCCUUCUUUUCGUACACAACGAAGCUUUAAAAGGUCGCUUCCUCUUUUUGCCGAAGCUUUGCUUUUUUGUACAUGAAAACUACUUCUCCUUUCUGCCGAAGCUUUUCUUUACAAAACAUAAAAAACUACUUCUCUUUUCUGCCGAAGCUUUCCUUUACAUGACAAAACAUAAAAGACUACUACUCUUUUGCACAACGAUUCGUAAAAAUCCAGUUCUCCCUUAUACUGAACUUUUCCUUGUGCCAAAGCAACGGAACUUUUCACUUUUGCAGACAACAUAGCGUAACAAGUCAUAAAAGGUACUUCUCCGAAGCUUUUUUGCCGAAGCAGCCACUUGGGAACACAAAUGCUAUGAAUGAAUGCUUAUGCAUGCGAAUGUUAUGAUGUAAUGUAAUGCACGAAUGAAUGUCCGAAGCAUAUGUCCGAAGCCAUAUUGUCAGCCAUUACUUGAAAACAAGAACACAUUAGCUCUGCAUUCCCUUAGGAACGACUUUGGAGCUUCUUCGCCUCUUACUUAGGCAAUAUCAGCGUUGACUUUUCGCUGUAAGCUCUGCAUCCCCUUAGGGACGUCUUUGGAGCUUCUUCGUCUUUUACUUAGACGGUAUAAACUCUGCAUUCCCUUAGGAACGUCUUUGGAGUUUCUUCGCCUUUUACUUAGGCGGUAUAAGCUCUGCAUUCCCUUGGGAACGUCUUUGGAGCUUCUUCUCUUUUUUCUUUUUCAGUUUCUGCACUCGAUGGUGCGUUCUCAGCUGUUACAUUUACAUUUUUUGGGGGAUUUCGCUCUUAUAAGACUAAAAAAAGGAAAUUACACAUGAUGGCCCCAUUAAAAACCUUUCUCCCCCUUCGGAAAGGAAAAGGGUGCCAUGAAAAUGAAAAGAAAAAGCAUAAAAAAUUACAUCAUAUUAUACAUAGUAUCGCCGAAGCUCAUCCGCAUUCCAAGACCUUGGAAUUUCGUUGCCAUCCAUGUCCUUCAAUCUGUAUGAUCCAGGCCUUGACGAAGAUACUACUAAGAAUGGUCCUUCCCAUUUCAACUGUAGCUUACCCACUGUAUCUGGGUUAGCCACUCUCCGAAGCACCAAGUGUCCCGGCUCAAUAUUUUUUAGCCGGACUUUUCUAUCUCGCCAUUUGACUGUUUCAGCCUGAUAUUUAUUAAUAUUCUCCACGGCCUGAAGCCUGAUCCCCUCUAAAGCAUCUUUUUCCACAAGAGAAGCAUCUUCGGGGCCUGAUUCUGCCGAAGCUACUACUCUUACUGAUCCAGCUUUUGCUUCCUCCGGAGUUAUUGCUUCGUCACCGAAUAAUAAUUUGAAUGGGGUAAAGCCUGUAGACCUUGAUGUUGUUGUAUUGUGGCUCCACACCACUUUGAUUAACUGAUCUGGCCACUUUCCCCUGGGUUGAUUGAAGAUUAACUUCAUUAUUCCUGUCAUUAUAAUGCCGUUGGCCCUUUCAACGAGCCCAUUUGACUCCGGAUGCCUGACUGACGCAAAAUGGAUCUUCGUUCCGAUUUGAUUACAGAAGUUUCUGAAAGCUUCGGAGUCAAACUGCGUUCCAUUAUCUACAGUAAUUGCCUUCGGUACCCCGAAGCGACAGACAAUAUUCUGCCAGAAAAACUUUUGGACAGUGGCUGAAGUUAUUGUGGCCAAUGGCUUCGCCUCAAUCCACUUGGAAAAAUACUCCACAGCCACUAUAACAUAUUUUAGAUUCCCUUGAGCCGGUGGUAAUGGGCCCAACAAGUCAAGGCCCCACCUUUGCAAUGGCCAGAUGGGUUGUAUCAGCUGUGUUAAAGACGAAGGUUGUUUUUGAUCUCUUGCACAUUUCUGACAACCUUCGCACUUUUGCACUAACUCCGCUGCAUCCGAAGCUGCCUUCGGCCAAUAAAAUCCUUGGCGGAAGACUUUCCCAAGUAAUGGCCUAGAUCCAAUGUGGGAUCCACACAGGCCUGCAUGUAUCUCUUUCAUCAACUCUAUACCUUCGGCUCUAGAUAAGCACUUGAGCAGCGGAGCACAAACUCCAUGUUUGUAUAAUUCCCCUUCUAUCAUGACAUACGGACGAGCUCUUGCCUCUAUUCUUUGAUUGUAAGCUUCGUCAUCUGAAAGGGACUUACCCUGAAGGUAAGAGAUUAUUUCAGUUCUCCAAUCUUCGCUGUAAACAGGAGAUAUGUUGAGGACUGCUCUUUCAAGGAGCUCCACUGAAGGUGCCUUUAUUGUUUCGAAAAACACAUCCGAGGGUAACGGCAGCCCCUGUGCCGCAGACUUAGCUAGCAAAUCAGCAUGCUCAUUUUGUCCUCGAGGAAUAUUCUUGACCGAGAAUCCUUCGAAGGAUGCCUCGAUCCUUCGGACCGUAUCUAGAUACUUUUCAAGCUUCGGAUCUUUAGCUUUGCAACUUUUGUCAACAUGACCCGAAACCACCUGGGAAUCAGUUUUAAGAAUUGCCCUUCUGAUUCCCAUUGCCUUUAAUUUCCGAAGGCCCAAAAGCAGGGCUUCGUACUCAGCAAUAUUGUUCGUGCAGCUGAAAUCAAGUCUUGCUGCGUAACAAGUUUUGACAUUGGAUGGUGAAACCAACACAGCAGCUGCACCUGCUCCGAAGAUUCCCCAAGAGCCAUCACAAAACACUGUCCACACUUCGGCAUCUUUAUUUGCUUCUUCAUCCUGAGCCCCUGGUGUCCAGUCGGCAAUGAAAUCUGCCAAUGCUUGAGACUGGAUCGAAGAUCUAUGCACAUAAUCAAUGUAAAAUUCGUUGAGCUCUGCAGCCCAUUUCCCAAUCCGUCCAGUAGCUUCUCUAUUUCUCAUUAUAUCCUUCAACGGCUGCGAAGAAGGAACAAUGAUAUUGUAUGCCUGAAAAUAAUGCCGAAGCUUCCUGGAUGCCAUUAAAACGGCAUAUAAUACCUUCUCCAGCUCUGUAUAAUUUUUCUUUGAGACACUAAGGACCUCAGAUACAAAGUACACUGGAACUUGCUUCUUAAGCUGGCCAUAAAGCUUCUCCUGGACAAGCGCCGCACUUACUGCUGAGUGCGAAGCUGCCACAUAUAACAACAGAGGAGCCCCUGGCGUUGGCGGAGUUAAUGUUGUGAGAUCUAUCAAGUAUUGCUUCAACUCUUCGAAGGCUUUUUGUUGACUUGGGCCCCAUUGAAAGACUUCGGCUGACUUCAGCACCUCGAAGAAUGGUAAGUUUCUUUCUGCUGAUCUGGAUAUAAAUCUGUUGAGAGAUGCCAGCCUUCCUGUCAAUCUUUGGGCCCCUUUUCUUGUAGUUGGUGGCUCCAUUCGAAGUAUAGCUUCGAUUUUAUUUGGAUUAGCUUCGAUUCCCUUUGUUGAAACUAAGCAUCCAAGAAAUUUACCCUUCUUUACUCCGAAGACACAUUUCUCUGGAUUCAGCUUCAGACCGGCUUGUCUGAAGCUGGCGAAGGUCUCCUGCAGAUCAGCAAUAUGGUCCUCUUGCUUCGUGCUUUUGACGAUAAUGUCAUCAACAUAAGUCAACACAUUUCUACCUAUUUGAGACUGGAGAACCUUCGCAGUCAUUCUGCUGAAACUUCCUCCAGCGUUUUUGAGCCCCUCAGGCAUCCGAAGAUAGCAAUACGUGCCACUUGGAGUUAUGAAGCUAGUUUUCGGCUCAUCUUCCUUUUUCAUCCAGAUUUGAUGAUAUCCUGAGUAACAGUCCAAGAGACUCAUGAGCUCUGAAGAAGCUGCUGCAUCGACUAGAGAGUCUAUCCUUGGCAACGGGAAUUCGUCCUUCGGACAAGCUUUGUUGAGAUCUGUGAAAUCGAUACACAUUCUCCACUUGCCAUUGGCCUUCUUCACCAUAACAGUGUUAGCUAGCCACUCUGGGUACUUCACUUCUCUGAUAACUCCUGCACUGAGGAGUCUUUUUACUUCGUUGCGGGCCCCUUCGGCCUUGUCAUCAGACAUUUUCCGAAGCCUCUGCUUUCGGGGUCUAAAGGAUGGGUCAACAUUGAGCGAAUGUUCAAUAACAUCCCGGUUUACUCCACAGAGAUCAUUAGCCGACCAUGCAAAAACAUCUUUGUUGUUGAAUAAAAACCUUAUCAAGGUUUUCUCCUGGUCUUCAGAUAACUGCGAGCCCAACAGCACCUUCUGAUCUGCUAUGUCUUCGCACAACAGCAUGGGCUUCGGCUGAUCAGCCGAAGCUGCUUUUUCCCUCCUGAACUUGUACUGUUCACAAGCUUCAACUCCAUCUAUAUUAUGGAUUGCCUUGGAAUCAGUCCAGCUUCCUUCGGCCCUUCUGGCAGCUUCCUGACUCCCAUGAAUAGCAAUAGGCCCUUGGUCCGAAGGUAUCUUCAUGCAGAGAUAAGCUGGGUGAAGAAUUGCUUCAAAAGCAUUUAGGGUACCACGACCAAUGAUGGCGUUGUAGGGGUAUUCCAUGUCAACAAUAUCAAACACAAUUUGCUCAGUCCUUGUGUUAUUAACAAAUCCGAAGGUUACCGGCAUGGUAAUCUUCCCGAGUGCCACAAUCUGUCGCCCUCCGAAGCCACAAAGAGGGUGCGUAGCAUCAUGAAUCUUGUCUUCAGGCUCUUGCAUCUGUCUGAAGGCUUUGGCAAAUAUGAUGUCAGCUGCACUGCCUGUGUCGACCAAAACAUUGUGGACCAGAAAUCCUUUGAUAACACAAGAGAUAACCAUGGCAUCAUUGUGUGGGUAAUCUUUAAGCUGAAGGUCCUCUUGGGAGAAGGUAAUUGGAAUGUGAGACCAUUUUGACUUAAUGAAGGGUCCCUGCACGCCAACAUGCUGCACCCUUCUCUGAGCCUCCUUCUUCUGCCUUUUGUUAGCUGGCUCUGAGCAAGAACCGCCUGUUAUCGGGAGCACCAGCUUCGAAGCCGAAGCAGCUCCAGCUUGAGUGUUGAACGAAGCCAUCAGCUCAGAAAGGUGGAAGUGAGUUGACCGGAGGUGGGCGCCAAUGUUGGGGACUUGUUCUCAAAUGCUAAGAAUUAAGAACAAGGCAACACAAGAAAUGUUAGGUGUUAAGGUCCUUCGUCCUCCAUAACAAUAUAUCCCUUCGGGAUAUAGAGCAUCUCGGACGAAGGUUACGAAGGACAUACCUUCGUAAGCAUAAUAACGAAGAAUGAAGCAUUUGCAUAAAUCAUAGAAUAUGAAAUAAACAUCUAAAUAUUGUCAAAGAAUUAUCUCUACUUGUAUUAAUGAAUACAAAUGACUUUGAAUUACAAAUGUACCUUCGAUCCUGCGGAAGGCAAAGGUACAAGCGUGAUGCGAAAGCAAAUGACAGGUCCACCUGAACAGUACAGAGGUACUGUUCAUCUAUUUAUAGGCACAGGUCGCAGCCUGUGACAAAUUACAAUUAUGCCCCUUGCGAAAGUUUAUAGCAUUAACUCAGACUCAUAUGUAUAAAAAGGUCAUUCUAUCUCUAUGUCGGUUUAAAAACGCCGAAGCUCCAUGAAAAGGGACCUUCGGCCAUCUCUUGGAGACGACUUCAGCCGAAGCUGCUUCUUCGUGUGAGACCUUCGGCGUACCGAAGCACGACCCCAACAGGCGCGAUGUGCGGGAGCGCUGUGGAGCAGAGGGUGGGGGAUCCGCGACGCGAACGGCAGAACCGUUCACUGUGGACGCCUACAAUAGCCUCUUAAGGAGUAGUAAAGAUGUGUGUUAGUCACUUUCAUAAUUGGAACUACCUCGACUAUUUAGCUAGGUUGAAAGAGCAUCAUUGUCGUAAGUAACAAUAUAUCGAUAAUUAGUGUCCGCAAUGUCUCGUCAUUAAGUAGGUUAUUUCUCUUUUGCGUAGCAUCAUAAUAUCUGGUGUUAUUGUUCCUUAUAUGCAUUCAUGUGCAUAAUGCAUUUCAAUUAGGUACGAUAAUUAAUCACGUGAUGCGGAAGACGAGCCAAGUCGAUCCCAAGCGUGGGCUACUCCGCAUGGUGAUGCUGAUGGACGAGCCUGCAUGAUCAAGUGCUAGGACAAGGCUGAUCGCCAGAUGGACGUUAUCUAACAACACUAACCUAGUUUUACACAGGCAAGCCCCGGUGCAUUUGCCCCUUCCUUGUGUUUUAAAUGCUUUUUCACCUUAUCUGAUGCAUUAGGUGAUAGGAGUUGUGUGAUAAACAAUUGAUGCAUUACCAUUCCUUGGAAACUCCUUAAUCCCGAUUUUAUAAAAAGAACUGAUAAUGCUUAGCCCUGCUUAGAAACUGAAAAAUCAUUUGUUUUCAAAAAGAAUGAUUGUGGAACAUUGGUUAUGGGCCUUUCGUUUCAAAAAUCAAAGCAAACUUAUGGUGAUGAUUUCACUUCGGCCGGAGUGGGUUCAUCAUUCGGAAAAGAGUACCCCUGUCGGGUACCAAAAAUGGGAAAAUGGUUUGAAUACAUCUAGACCAGACGCUGAGCGGACAAGGUCGUCCGUCUGUGUCGAUUAAGGACCGUUCGAUGUAGGCCUGUUGUGGUGGAGACUUUGCAACUAUCCACAUGCUCCGGUAAGCCUGAACCCGGCUAUUCCAUACGUGAAAAGACAACCGCGGGCGUGGGAGAUGGUGGGAGUAGCGUGUACCCUCCUGGCUAGAGGCUGGAUGGAGGAGUACUGUGCUCCCGGGUAGCGCGGAUCGGUUCACGUUGUGGAGGAUCUAUGGGAACGGUUGUGUUGGGGACUUGUUCUCAAAUGCUAAGAAUUAAGAACAAGGCAACACAAGAAAUGUUAGGUGUUAAGGUCCUUCGUCCUCCAUAACAAUAUAUCCCUUCGGGAUAUAGAGCAUCUCGGACGAAGGUUACGAAGGACAUACCUUCGUAAGCAUAAUAACGAAGAAUGAAGCAUUUGCAUAAAUCAUAGAAUAUGAAAUAAACAUCUAAAUAUUGUCAAAGAAUUAUCUCUACUUGUAUUAAUGAAUACAAAUGACUUUGAAUUACAAAUGUACCUUCGAUCCUGCGGAAGGCAAAGGUACAAGCGUGAUGCGAAAGCAAAUGACAGGUCCACCUGAACAGUACAGAGGUACUGUUCAUCUAUUUAUAGGCACAGGUCGCAGCCUGUGACAAAUUACAAUUAUGCCCCUUGCGAAAGUUUAUAGCAUUAACUCAGACUCAUAUGUAUAAAAAGGUCAUUCUAUCUCUAUGUCGGUUUAAAAACGCCGAAGCUCCAUGAAAAGGGACCUUCGGCCAUCUCUUGGAGACGACUUCAGCCGAAGCUGCUUCUUCGUGUGAGACCUUCGGCGUACCGAAGCACGACCCCAACAGUAGCCCCUUUCGCGGUGCUAGAUCGUUCUUCGUAACGAGCUUGACCCGUGAAAAAAGCCUCUUCAGCUUCGGGAAGCCGAAGGUCCAAAAAACACCUUCCCUGAGCUCGUUGCGGAGAAACGAUCCGACUUCCGAGCGCGUGUCGGUCCCACCUUGCAGAGUUACUGUUUGAUCCUUGCGGUCCACUGCGCAGCGGGUACAAGUUACGGCGCGCCUGGUGUAACAAUUCCGCCGCUUCGCCUUCUUUCCUGCAGUACUAUAUAAACAAGCAGGUAGGUGUGAAGUUACCACAGCAUUCAUUGCUAUUUGCACUGUUUUGCUGCCGAAAUUUUCCAUCAUAGCCGAAGCUUAAAUCCCAAAAUCGAACGAAGGUCCGUCUCGACACUUGCUUCGUCAGAAAGAAGAGCUUCGGAGAGAAGAAAAAAGUAAAAAGUUUCUGACUUGCCAAACUUAAAAUCAAAUGGCGAGAAUUCGAUCUACUGCCAAAGUUGUACGUGAGGGAGACGAAGCCGAAGGUUCAAACACUGUGCCCAUCUCCGAAGCGAUGCAGCGCUCCGGUCUAGUGGCUGCGGAAGAGAGGCCUGGUACCGAAGUAAACCCGACAACAGCCGAAGAAGAAAACAUUGAUGGGACUGACUCCGGAGAUGACUACCACAUGUCUACACCCAGCAAGCCCAGUCACCUGGAUUUUGGAAAAUCAACAGUUUCAAAGGCUGACCUUGCGAAGAUGAUAAAGGCAGGUUUUUUCAAAGAAGAUCAGAAAAAGCUACUUCGCUUCGGAGGAGAGGAGACUACCCCGAAGCCAGAGAAGGAUGAGAUUGUAAUUUUCAAAAGCUUUUUAAAAGCUGGGCUGAGAUUUCCUCUUCAUGGAAUUAUUGGAGAUGUGUUGCAAAAGUUUGGCAUUUAUUUUCACCAAUUGACUCCUAACGCCAUUGUUAGGCUUAAUGUUUAUAUUUGGGCUCUCCGAAGCCAAGCUGUGGAACCGUUUGCCGACAGCUUCUGCCGAGCGCACGAAUUACAUUACCAAACGAAGGCCAGAGCAGACGGACUACAUGAUAACUUCGGCUGUUACAAUUUUGCCUACCGGAAGACAACAAAGUGUCCUGUUAUCAGCUACCGGAGCAAAUGGCCAGCAGGCUGGAAGUCUGAGUGGUUCUACGUAAAAGUUGACGAAGACAGAGAAAAAUUGGUACAAAGUCCUCUGGAAUUAAUCUUCGGAGAGACAAGGCCACACUGCCACAUCGGCGAUUUAAAGGGUCCUACCUGGGCCGCUCUGGGUGAAUUCGAAAUUAUUUCAGAACAUAUUGGCACCAGGGAUCUGGUUCAGGAAUUUUUGGCAUUCAGAGUUUUCCCUACUUUAAAAGAGUGGGAGAUGCCGAAGCUGGAGGGAGAGAAGAAGGAUGGGGAGCUUGUUCGUCUGCCUUAUCACUUUAAAUUCAAGAAGUACUUUAAGAAACCCUGCAAAGAGUGGUUGGACACAGUUGAGACAAUGUGCAAUGAAAUCUUGGGGAACUACUCCAAAAAGGAGGAUCAAUUAAUGACAGCAGCCUUCGGCACCCGACCGAAGCGAAGGCUAAACCGAGUAUUCGAUGCCCUGGGCUUCGAGUAUCCAGACUAUGAGCAGUUGAAUAAGGGUGCCGAAGGCCACAAAAGAAAAAGAGUGGCUGAAAUUCUGACGAAGGAUGAAGAGCAACCAGCAGCAGAGAAGAAAAUUCCGAAGAAAAGGAAAAUAUCAACUCCGAAACGGAAAAUAUCCGAAGAAGAGAGAACCCCCACACCGCCUUCUACUAGCGACAUAGAAGAAAUUUUAAAGGUAAUGACUGAACCCAUGCCUACGAAGCUAAGUCCACUAGAGCUCCAACUGACGAAGCUUUUUCGAAAGGUGGACGAGCCGGAUCAGACGAAGACAAGCAAACCCAAGCGGCAAAGAAUCAUUGCGGUAACUGAAGUUAUCGAUAAGACGCCGCCAAGGGCGUCAAUCCAAAAAACGGCAGCUGCCGAAGGUGCAGCAAUUGUCGAAGGCGUAGCUUCGGGGGUCGCGGCUACCGAAGCCGCUACAGCCGAAGAUACAAACUUAAAAACCACGAUUACGAAUAUCAACAAGAUUUUGGAAGACAUGGCCGCGGAAGAAACUGGUGCUACUUCUGAAAAAACCAUGGCCACAGUGCCUGAAAAAGGAAAAGAAAUAGCCGAAGACCCUUCGGAUGACGAAGCAUACACUUUCCAGAACUUAGUUGGGCAAAAACUGACGAAGGAGGAAAUAGAAGAACUUAAAGAAUACGCCAAGUCUUGCGGGUACAAGUCAGGUGCCCUCCUAUUUGGGGGUGUAGAUGAUGAACAACUGGGCUGCAUCCGGGACUCAGCUGGGGCUAAGGUCAUCGGUACUUUAUCAAAGAGUAUCGGUUUUCCGAAGCUGGAGUCAGACAUCAGCCGCUACCGACGACAACAUGUCGUUGGUAGUUUAUUUUAUUCUAACUUCAAGGUGAAUGACUUGUUUCUUAACCUUUAUUGCUUCUAAUAAAAACAUGACUGACGAAGGUUGUGUUUGUGUAGAGUAUGCUAUUGAGCAAGGCUUUGCAAAUGCAGCAGGAUCUUGAAGAUAAAAAGCAUGAAGUUAUAAUUGAAAAUUUGGAAAACAAAAUAAAGGAACAAUCAGAUGCUUUUGAGAAAAAGAGCUUCGAACUCCAGGCAGCCGAAGGUUUACUGGCGGAAGCUGAAGCAAAAAUAUUAGAACUGAACACGAAGCUUCUCCGCCAGUCUGAGCAGUUCGAACAAGAAAAACAAGAUCUCAAUGCAAAACUUGAAGCCGAAGCUCAGCAAAAUUCGGAUUUGAGAAAAUUAUUGACAAAUCUUCAAGAAAAAUGCCUAGAAUUUAGCAGCAAGUGCAUUCAGCGACUAAGAAAGAUUUUUCAUUCGGUUGGAGCUAGCAGCGAAAAAUUUACCCCCUCAGCUGAAGACCUACCACAAACCUUCGAACACAUUGAGGGGGAAAUUGACGAGCUCGACGAAGUCAUAGCUGGGCAUGGUGAUUUCUGUGCCUGGGUAGCUUCUCGAGGGACUGCUGCAGCCUUCAUGAAGGCUGGCUGUGAACAUGGAAAAGUUGUUAACAGACCCACCUUCGCCUUAUCUCCAUCAAUCCUGGAUGAUAUGCCUGACCUUGCCCGAAGUAUCUCCAACAGAUUUAUAAAAAUGAUAUGGACAAAAGGCGGGCGGGAGAAGGCUGGAGAUGAAGCACGAAGCCAUCUUGAACCAGUAAGAGAUAAUACUUCGUACUUACCUUUUUCUUUGCACUUGAUUUUUACUCACGGUUCCUUGAUUUAUGUAGGAUGACGAAGGUGAAGAUGAUGCCUAAAUUAUGUCGUCGAAGCUGAAACUUAAUGAAGAUCAGUAGAAGUGUACUGUAGGAAAACUCAGGAUAUUUUUGUAACAAUCCUUGUAAAUACAACUAGACUAUCUUCAAGGAACUUUGUACAUACCUUGCAAUGUAUUCUUACCCUCUGCUUGAAGCGCUUUGAUGUGGACGAAACCAGUAUUUUGAGCCGAAGGCGAAAAACACCUUCCCUUCUUUUCGUACACAACGAAGCUUUAAAAGGUCGCUUCCUCUUUUUGCCGAAGCUUUGCUUUUUUGUACAUGAAAACUACUUCUCCUUUCUGCCGAAGCUUUUCUUUACAAAACAUAAAAAACUACUUCUCUUUUCUGCCGAAGCUUUCCUUUACAUGACAAAACAUAAAAGACUACUACUCUUUUGCACAACGAUUCGUAAAAAUCCAGUUCUCCCUUAUACUGAACUUUUCCUUGUGCCAAAGCAACGGAACUUUUCACUUUUGCAGACAACAUAGCGUAACAAGUCAUAAAAGGUACUUCUCCGAAGCUUUUUUGCCGAAGCAGCCACUUGGGAACACAAAUGCUAUGAAUGAAUGCUUAUGCAUGCGAAUGUUAUGAUGUAAUGUAAUGCACGAAUGAAUGUCCGAAGCAUAUGUCCGAAGCCAUAUUGUCAGCCAUUACUUGAAAACAAGAACACAUUAGCUCUGCAUUCCCUUAGGAACGACUUUGGAGCUUCUUCGCCUCUUACUUAGGCAAUAUCAGCGUUGACUUUUCGCUGUAAGCUCUGCAUCCCCUUAGGGACGUCUUUGGAGCUUCUUCGUCUUUUACUUAGACGGUAUAAACUCUGCAUUCCCUUAGGAACGUCUUUGGAGUUUCUUCGCCUUUUACUUAGGCGGUAUAAGCUCUGCAUUCCCUUGGGAACGUCUUUGGAGCUUCUUCUCUUUUUUCUUUUUCAGUUUCUGCACUCGAUGGUGCGUUCUCAGCUGUUACAUUUACAUUUUUUGGGGGAUUUCGCUCUUAUAAGACUAAAAAAAGGAAAUUACACAUGAUGGCCCCAUUAAAAACCUUUCUCCCCCUUCGGAAAGGAAAAGGGUGCCAUGAAAAUGAAAAGAAAAAGCAUAAAAAAUUACAUCAUAUUAUACAUAGUAUCGCCGAAGCUCAUCCGCAUUCCAAGACCUUGGAAUUUCGUUGCCAUCCAUGUCCUUCAAUCUGUAUGAUCCAGGCCUUGACGAAGAUACUACUAAGAAUGGUCCUUCCCAUUUCAACUGUAGCUUACCCACUGUAUCUGGGUUAGCCACUCUCCGAAGCACCAAGUGUCCCGGCUCAAUAUUUUUUAGCCGGACUUUUCUAUCUCGCCAUUUGACUGUUUCAGCCUGAUAUUUAUUAAUAUUCUCCACGGCCUGAAGCCUGAUCCCCUCUAAAGCAUCUUUUUCCACAAGAGAAGCAUCUUCGGGGCCUGAUUCUGCCGAAGCUACUACUCUUACUGAUCCAGCUUUUGCUUCCUCCGGAGUUAUUGCUUCGUCACCGAAUAAUAAUUUGAAUGGGGUAAAGCCUGUAGACCUUGAUGUUGUUGUAUUGUGGCUCCACACCACUUUGAUUAACUGAUCUGGCCACUUUCCCCUGGGUUGAUUGAAGAUUAACUUCAUUAUUCCUGUCAUUAUAAUGCCGUUGGCCCUUUCAACGAGCCCAUUUGACUCCGGAUGCCUGACUGACGCAAAAUGGAUCUUCGUUCCGAUUUGAUUACAGAAGUUUCUGAAAGCUUCGGAGUCAAACUGCGUUCCAUUAUCUACAGUAAUUGCCUUCGGUACCCCGAAGCGACAGACAAUAUUCUGCCAGAAAAACUUUUGGACAGUGGCUGAAGUUAUUGUGGCCAAUGGCUUCGCCUCAAUCCACUUGGAAAAAUACUCCACAGCCACUAUAACAUAUUUUAGAUUCCCUUGAGCCGGUGGUAAUGGGCCCAACAAGUCAAGGCCCCACCUUUGCAAUGGCCAGAUGGGUUGUAUCAGCUGUGUUAAAGACGAAGGUUGUUUUUGAUCUCUUGCACAUUUCUGACAACCUUCGCACUUUUGCACUAACUCCGCUGCAUCCGAAGCUGCCUUCGGCCAAUAAAAUCCUUGGCGGAAGACUUUCCCAAGUAAUGGCCUAGAUCCAAUGUGGGAUCCACACAGGCCUGCAUGUAUCUCUUUCAUCAACUCUAUACCUUCGGCUCUAGAUAAGCACUUGAGCAGCGGAGCACAAACUCCAUGUUUGUAUAAUUCCCCUUCUAUCAUGACAUACGGACGAGCUCUUGCCUCUAUUCUUUGAUUGUAAGCUUCGUCAUCUGAAAGGGACUUACCCUGAAGGUAAGAGAUUAUUUCAGUUCUCCAAUCUUCGCUGUAAACAGGAGAUAUGUUGAGGACUGCUCUUUCAAGGAGCUCCACUGAAGGUGCCUUUAUUGUUUCGAAAAACACAUCCGAGGGUAACGGCAGCCCCUGUGCCGCAGACUUAGCUAGCAAAUCAGCAUGCUCAUUUUGUCCUCGAGGAAUAUUCUUGACCGAGAAUCCUUCGAAGGAUGCCUCGAUCCUUCGGACCGUAUCUAGAUACUUUUCAAGCUUCGGAUCUUUAGCUUUGCAACUUUUGUCAACAUGACCCGAAACCACCUGGGAAUCAGUUUUAAGAAUUGCCCUUCUGAUUCCCAUUGCCUUUAAUUUCCGAAGGCCCAAAAGCAGGGCUUCGUACUCAGCAAUAUUGUUCGUGCAGCUGAAAUCAAGUCUUGCUGCGUAACAAGUUUUGACAUUGGAUGGUGAAACCAACACAGCAGCUGCACCUGCUCCGAAGAUUCCCCAAGAGCCAUCACAAAACACUGUCCACACUUCGGCAUCUUUAUUUGCUUCUUCAUCCUGAGCCCCUGGUGUCCAGUCGGCAAUGAAAUCUGCCAAUGCUUGAGACUGGAUCGAAGAUCUAUGCACAUAAUCAAUGUAAAAUUCGUUGAGCUCUGCAGCCCAUUUCCCAAUCCGUCCAGUAGCUUCUCUAUUUCUCAUUAUAUCCUUCAACGGCUGCGAAGAAGGAACAAUGAUAUUGUAUGCCUGAAAAUAAUGCCGAAGCUUCCUGGAUGCCAUUAAAACGGCAUAUAAUACCUUCUCCAGCUCUGUAUAAUUUUUCUUUGAGACACUAAGGACCUCAGAUACAAAGUACACUGGAACUUGCUUCUUAAGCUGGCCAUAAAGCUUCUCCUGGACAAGCGCCGCACUUACUGCUGAGUGCGAAGCUGCCACAUAUAACAACAGAGGAGCCCCUGGCGUUGGCGGAGUUAAUGUUGUGAGAUCUAUCAAGUAUUGCUUCAACUCUUCGAAGGCUUUUUGUUGACUUGGGCCCCAUUGAAAGACUUCGGCUGACUUCAGCACCUCGAAGAAUGGUAAGUUUCUUUCUGCUGAUCUGGAUAUAAAUCUGUUGAGAGAUGCCAGCCUUCCUGUCAAUCUUUGGGCCCCUUUUCUUGUAGUUGGUGGCUCCAUUCGAAGUAUAGCUUCGAUUUUAUUUGGAUUAGCUUCGAUUCCCUUUGUUGAAACUAAGCAUCCAAGAAAUUUACCCUUCUUUACUCCGAAGACACAUUUCUCUGGAUUCAGCUUCAGACCGGCUUGUCUGAAGCUGGCGAAGGUCUCCUGCAGAUCAGCAAUAUGGUCCUCUUGCUUCGUGCUUUUGACGAUAAUGUCAUCAACAUAAGUCAACACAUUUCUACCUAUUUGAGACUGGAGAACCUUCGCAGUCAUUCUGCUGAAACUUCCUCCAGCGUUUUUGAGCCCCUCAGGCAUCCGAAGAUAGCAAUACGUGCCACUUGGAGUUAUGAAGCUAGUUUUCGGCUCAUCUUCCUUUUUCAUCCAGAUUUGAUGAUAUCCUGAGUAACAGUCCAAGAGACUCAUGAGCUCUGAAGAAGCUGCUGCAUCGACUAGAGAGUCUAUCCUUGGCAACGGGAAUUCGUCCUUCGGACAAGCUUUGUUGAGAUCUGUGAAAUCGAUACACAUUCUCCACUUGCCAUUGGCCUUCUUCACCAUAACAGUGUUAGCUAGCCACUCUGGGUACUUCACUUCUCUGAUAACUCCUGCACUGAGGAGUCUUUUUACUUCGUUGCGGGCCCCUUCGGCCUUGUCAUCAGACAUUUUCCGAAGCCUCUGCUUUCGGGGUCUAAAGGAUGGGUCAACAUUGAGCGAAUGUUCAAUAACAUCCCGGUUUACUCCACAGAGAUCAUUAGCCGACCAUGCAAAAACAUCUUUGUUGUUGAAUAAAAACCUUAUCAAGGUUUUCUCCUGGUCUUCAGAUAACUGCGAGCCCAACAGCACCUUCUGAUCUGCUAUGUCUUCGCACAACAGCAUGGGCUUCGGCUGAUCAGCCGAAGCUGCUUUUUCCCUCCUGAACUUGUACUGUUCACAAGCUUCAACUCCAUCUAUAUUAUGGAUUGCCUUGGAAUCAGUCCAGCUUCCUUCGGCCCUUCUGGCAGCUUCCUGACUCCCAUGAAUAGCAAUAGGCCCUUGGUCCGAAGGUAUCUUCAUGCAGAGAUAAGCUGGGUGAAGAAUUGCUUCAAAAGCAUUUAGGGUACCACGACCAAUGAUGGCGUUGUAGGGGUAUUCCAUGUCAACAAUAUCAAACACAAUUUGCUCAGUCCUUGUGUUAUUAACAAAUCCGAAGGUUACCGGCAUGGUAAUCUUCCCGAGUGCCACAAUCUGUCGCCCUCCGAAGCCACAAAGAGGGUGCGUAGCAUCAUGAAUCUUGUCUUCAGGCUCUUGCAUCUGUCUGAAGGCUUUGGCAAAUAUGAUGUCAGCUGCACUGCCUGUGUCGACCAAAACAUUGUGGACCAGAAAUCCUUUGAUAACACAAGAGAUAACCAUGGCAUCAUUGUGUGGGUAAUCUUUAAGCUGAAGGUCCUCUUGGGAGAAGGUAAUUGGAAUGUGAGACCAUUUUGACUUAAUGAAGGGUCCCUGCACGCCAACAUGCUGCACCCUUCUCUGAGCCUCCUUCUUCUGCCUUUUGUUAGCUGGCUCUGAGCAAGAACCGCCUGUUAUCGGGAGCACCAGCUUCGAAGCCGAAGCAGCUCCAGCUUGAGUGUUGAACGAAGCCAUCAGCUCAGAAAGGUGGAAGUGAGUUGACCGGAGGUGGGCGCCAAUGUUGGGGACUUGUUCUCAAAUGCUAAGAAUUAAGAACAAGGCAACACAAGAAAUGUUAGGUGUUAAGGUCCUUCGUCCUCCAUAACAAUAUAUCCCUUCGGGAUAUAGAGCAUCUCGGACGAAGGUUACGAAGGACAUACCUUCGUAAGCAUAAUAACGAAGAAUGAAGCAUUUGCAUAAAUCAUAGAAUAUGAAAUAAACAUCUAAAUAUUGUCAAAGAAUUAUCUCUACUUGUAUUAAUGAAUACAAAUGACUUUGAAUUACAAAUGUACCUUCGAUCCUGCGGAAGGCAAAGGUACAAGCGUGAUGCGAAAGCAAAUGACAGGUCCACCUGAACAGUACAGAGGUACUGUUCAUCUAUUUAUAGGCACAGGUCGCAGCCUGUGACAAAUUACAAUUAUGCCCCUUGCGAAAGUUUAUAGCAUUAACUCAGACUCAUAUGUAUAAAAAGGUCAUUCUAUCUCUAUGUCGGUUUAAAAACGCCGAAGCUCCAUGAAAAGGGACCUUCGGCCAUCUCUUGGAGACGACUUCAGCCGAAGCUGCUUCUUCGUGUGAGACCUUCGGCGUACCGAAGCACGACCCCAACAGGUUGACAUAUGCAAGGGUUAAGUGCUACAUAUGUCGUGUGGUUAGGGAUCCCCAGCUGGGUAUAAUCGGUUCGAAUCGUCGUUGCUCCUCGGUCAUGGAGACUCUACCCUCCGACCACUCAUCGUAGUUGACAAGUGAAAUAUGAAUUGGCUAAAAGAAAGUGUUGGGCAUGUGCUUCGUCGCCGAAGGUCUUCUAGGAAGAAGCGGCCUUCGGCUGAAGCUGUUUGUAUAAGAUGGCCGAAGGUCCCUCUUCAUGAAGCUUCGGUAUUACAAACCGACUUAAAGAUAGAAUGACCUUUUAGUCCAUAAAGGUCUGAGUCAAUGUUGUAAACUUUCAUAAGGGGCAUACUUGUAAUCCCUCACAGGCUGCGCCCUGUGCCUAUAAAUAGUGAACAGUAUUCCCUUACUGUUCACGGAUUCUGGUAACUGCAACCGCAUAUUCUGGAAUUCAUCCUUUUGUCAAGGCAGAUGUAUUAUUGUAUUCAAUAAUUGGAUAUAUUAAGAAAAUAUAAUAUAAUUCGUCCAUGACUUAUUUAUCUCUUUUGUACCUUUUAUUUUAUGUCAUCUUGCAAUAUCUAUUGAAAUCUUAGUACGAAGAUCUAAACUUCGUAAUUUUACUCUCAUCAACCUUCGUCCAAGACCCAUUAUCCUCAAGGGAAUAAUGUUUUAUGGACGAAGGACGUUGACAUUUAACAUUUUAUGUUGCCUUGUUCUUAAUUCAUAGCACUUGAGAACGAGUCUCCAACAGAAAGCUAGACCAGGACAAAUGGAUGCUCUAGAUUAGGCAAAUCUAGAUUCAGGAAAGGUACUUAACUUGUGAAGUAAAAUUUUGGCAUAAGGAUUCACUACUAGUAAGCUCUUCUGCAAAAUGAGUCUUUGAAAUUUGGUAAGCCUUACCUUGAUUCCUAAUCAGCCAGCAUAUCCUUGAGAGUCUUUUCUUUAGUCGGGUAAGUCUUGCUGAGUAAUUCCGUACUCAGGAUUUUAUUCUCUGUUGUUUUUCAGGUUAUAGUUUUGUGCUGCUGUUGAUGGUGUUAAGUGCCGGUGGGCUCGGCCUUCUUAUAAGUCUAAGUAACUCUUCUAUAUUUCUUAUUGAGGAUAGUCACUUGAGCUAGCAUAUAUUUCAAAACUAUAAAUAAUUUAUAACAGUUCAAAGUUAUUUCUUUGAAUCACUUUUGUAAUCACUGAUCAUGUACAUUGUAAAACUUAAUGUAACUUAUAAAAAUUGGUAAUAAGAUUUCCGCUGCAAAAUGUUGGUGUGUGAUUUAUGUUUACUUAAUCUUGUGAUCCUGGUUGUAAGUGGUUUAUCCGGGGUCCUUGGGACACUCGAACGGAUACUGUUAAGUUAUCUGGUGCACAUGCAUAGCUGUCUGAGGUCUUUGAGACAAGGAUAGGUGCAUGUGGGUCCAAUAAUUUGGGAGGUUAUGUCAUAGCCCGUCUCGUUCGGGUUCUAGGUCCUCCUUGAGUCAGUGAAGCUCACAAAGUUUUCUUUUUCAUCUCUACUGUUGUAGAUAUGCGGGAAUGUCGCGCCGACGACGGUGAACACCACCUGGAACGGUCUCGCCGUGGUGGACCUUGUCGGAGGUCGGUUAAGUGCGUGCUCUAGGGUUGAUUUGCUCGGUGGUGAGUUUUUGGUGCUUCCUCUACUGAGUUCAGGAGCUCUACCGCGUCGUGGUGCUGUGUGGUGGCUGCCGAAGUUGGCAUCGUCAUCGGCGCGCACGAAGAGAGCGCAGGCAUGCGAGUUUGGAGCUUUGGGCUCUUUGGCGCUGGUUUUCUCUAGUGCUAGGCCGACUGGGCCGACUGGGCCGAUUUUGGCCCAAGCCCUAUGUAUUGUUUGUCUUUAUUAUUUACUGAAGAACUUGUAAAUUGUGCUAAAAAUCGUAGGAAAUUUCAAAAUUUAUGGGACAAAUUUUGUUAAGUGUCAAAAAAUCAAGAGCUUUCUGGUAAACACAUUUUAGGGGUUUUGUAGUAGCUAAAUAUUUUUUGGUGAAUAAAAAGUACCUUAAAUGAGCUUAUGUGAGUUUUAAUAAUAAAAAUAGAGCACUAAGAAUUAUAGGAAAAAUUGUGUAAGAUUAUCCUAAGCACAUGAACCCUUGGGUAAAGUUUGGAACUGUUUGGACAAUAUUUGCUUGGCAAACUAAUUGUUUGGUCAAAAAAAGAAGAAGAGUUUUACCCCUGGAUAAUUAGGGCACCCAAUGUCUUAGUGAAGAAUAAGUUGCUUAGCAUGUUUUGGAUGGUUAGAUGAGUUCUAGGAAUGGUUAGCUCCCUGGUAGCUAUGACUUGUGAUGAUAGCUUGUAGGUGUAAUCUUGUAAUGCUUUAUAGUACCUUCUUUGCUAAUUGCAUAAGCACAUGCAUUCAUAAUCAUGUCAUUUCAUGUAGAGUGCCAAGAAGUGAUUUGUGAAGAAGGAGCCUGCUCCAGUGUUGUUGAUCCAGUGGUGGAUUCCAUCUAACUGCUUAUUGUGAUAUAAGAUCUCCUCUAACAAGGCAAGCCUCGGUGCAUUUGCCCUUCCUUGUGGUUUAAAUGUUUUAUCACCUUAUAUGGUGAAUUAGGUGAUAGGAGUUACGUGAUAAAAAUAUGAUACUUUACCAUUCCUUGGAAUUUGGCUACUAUUCA
rnacentral:lncRNA from 1 species